GAGCGUGUUUAACAAGUUUAUUUGAUCGUCACAUAAUGUUGUCGUCUGCCUCGCAAAGUUUGGAAUUACUUAGAUGAAAAUGAUCUUACAAAAUGGAAUUACUUUUGAUCAAAUUAAUUAAUGAAACCGAGUUAUCAUAAUAUCAACACCAGAAUGAGAAAGCACAUGAAAUCUAAACACCCGUCGAAUGAGGAAAGACAGCUGUCCGUCACUGCAUUCACGACAGAGCUCUGCUAAUCAGCAUGUGUCAUGCUGGAACUGCCACGGGACAGAAGGUGAAUGGACUGGUCCACAUUGAAAUUCAUUGGUGUGUGUACUGAGCAUGCUCAGUCGGACUCCUCCCCGCACGCCUCAUCACACUGCAAGGUUUUAGCCAGACUGAUGAGCAACGUUCGUCACCACAACGACCAAAACAACGUCUCGCUCUGUGAGUCAUGCCUUGCGGGCCAUCCCACGGGAUGCAAUUAUAUGCAAAUGAGGGUGGGACGCUUUCUCUAGGGUAAUCUACUGGCAAGUGAGAUGUUUGCUUGAAUCACGCUUCACCAACACUCCCCACUAACAGCAGAGUCAUGGGAAGUGUGUCAUUAUUGUUAUUAUUUCUUGUUUAUAAUUUGCAUUAUCGUUACUUCAGUGAUUGGCACACGGCUCAGGGGUCUUGUUUGUUGAUCGGCUUACUUUUUGGCAGAAUUAGACCUAAAAGCCUAACAGAAUGUUUCAGAGAAGGAAACUGUGAAGUGGAACUGAAGGGGUUAGUGUCUGAAAACUUACAUAAAACUAUCAUAAAAAUAUAUAGUAAUUAUUACUAAUAAUAGAUGGAAACAUGGGUUUAAAUGUUGAAAAGGAAGCAAUAUUUUUGUUCCAGACAUGGCUAUAAUAUGUGUUGCUUGGUUUUACUUUUACAGUUUAAAGCUGGAUAGUCCCACAUACAGUAAAAGCUCAUUGGUCUAAUGAUAAGUGUGCAUUCGACUCGUUAUAGAAAUUAUUUUUCACUUUUUUGCUCUAAUGAAAUAUAAUGAAGAGCAAAAAUUGCACUACUUUGUCUGUCUUUUAUAAUUCUUGCAUUGGCCCGGAGCAGGAUGUUCCUAAUUUUUUUUUUUUUUUUUUUGUCAUCCAAACUCCUUAGACAUAAAACAUUUACUUGAAGUACACUUUGAGAUUUUAAGUUAAUAUUUCAAUUAUUAAACAACACAUUUGUAGUUGCACUUUAAAUUGGACCCAAUCCUUUUUUUAGUUGUGAUAGUGUCUCACUCCACAUUACAUUCACACUAGUGUUUUUAGGAACCCAAUCAAAUUUAAUAAUAAUUAUUAGUUUUAACUCUAUCA